CCGAGUUUACAACUCCCAAACCCCUGUGAACAUACCUUUUUGUUGCCUCGGCGGGAGGCCCCGGGGGACGGCUUCGGCCGCCCUCCCGGAUCCCAUGGCUGCCCGCCGGAGGACCCAAACCUCUGUUUUAGAAUUAAAUCUUCUUCUGAGUACCUAGGCGAAAGCCGAAAAUAAAUCA
rnacentral:misc_RNA from 1 species